ensembl:lncRNA
GUUUCUGGCAGCAAGGACUGUUGUUUCAUGAUAGGACUCCCUUUAGAGUUUCGCCAAAGCUAUGUUACGGCUUGGGUGGUGGGAACUGUAUUUUAUGCUUGAAUGCUUUGAUGUUUUAUCGAGAAAGGUUACGUGCAAGUCUGCUUUAUGCUCUGCUCCCUGAGACCAUGUAUCUGCGAAAGCUGGAUAAUAAGAUCUGUCAGUCCACUAGAGGCUGUCCCUGAGUGUUCCUUUCAGAGUGUGGUUCUCCGAGCCUUACAACUGGUGCCCAAUGUGGGGCUCAAGCAGCAGACUGAUUUUAAACAAGGACUGCAUUCCUGCAGAAGCAAGAUGAUGGAACCGAACAGUGGGUCCCAAUCAGAAGAGUCAGAAGACGGACAGACCUUGCUCCACACCCCUUGACCGGUAACAGCACUAAAACAGAAAUUGCAACAGAUGACAUUGAAAGACAGCAAGAAAAUGUAACGUCCCCAAUGCAAUGUGCCUUUUCCGACCUGGGCUCAAAUGAAAAAUCUGUCAAGACGAGCUGAGGAUACUCUGUUGAUGACCAACAGCGAGGUAACACCGGAAAAACUGUUGCUGGCCAUGAUGGCCGUUUUAACCUGUGCUUCUGGGGAUUCCGAACGUUAUGUGCUCAAGCCACCGCUGCCCAAAAAGCAGGAGUAACCAUAGCUGCAGCAGUUCUUGCUCUUGAGGAAAAAGGGAGGAAAUAUGGAGGAGCUGGAAGGCUUUAAGCAAAUACUGAGAAUGUAUUUGCUCCACUCGUGACGAAGGUUGGAAGCUGGGAUGAGCAUAACAAAGGGUUAUGAGCGUUCAUCAAGUGCCCAAGGCUGGGAACGGAUGACGAAGGGUCAUACGCCCAGCCUUGAAGCAUUCGGAGGCUUCCUUCUG